GAUGAACGCUGGCGGCGUGCCUAACACAUGCAAGUCGAGCGAGAAGUAAAGAAAUGAAGCUUCGGUAGAUUUUCAUUAUGGAAAGCGGCGGACGGGUGAGUAACGCGUAGGCAACCUGCCCUGUACAGGGGGAUAGCCACCCGAAAAGGUGAUUAAUACCCCAUGAUGCAAGAGAUACACAUGUAUCACUUGUCAAAGAUUUAUCGGUAUGGGAUGGGCCUGCGUCUGAUUAGCUAGUUGGUAGGGUAACGGCUUACCAAGGCAACGAUCAGUAGCCGACCUGAGAGGGUGAUCGGCCACAUUGGAACUGAGACACGGUCCAAACUCCUACGGGAGGCAGCAGUGGGGAAUAUUGCACAAUGGGGGAAACCCUGAUGCAGCAACGCCGCGUGAAGGAAGAAGGCCUUCGGGUUGUAAACUUCUGUCCUAGGGGAAGAAACAAAUGACAUACCCUG
rnacentral:rRNA from 1 species